UAGUCCACGCCCUAAACGAUGCUCACUCGGUAUUGGCGAUAUAUUGUCAGUGCCUAAGGGAAACCAUUAAGUGAGCCACCUGGGGAGUACGUUCGCAAGAAUGAAACUCAAAGGAAUUGACGGGGAUCCGCACAAGCGGUGGAGCAUGUGGUUUAAUUCGAUGAUACGCGAGGAACCUUACCUAGGCUCUAAUGCCUCUGCUACCCCUUGAAAGAGGGGGUUCCUUCGGGACAGAGUGCAAGGUGCUGCAUGGUUGUCGUCAGCUCGUGCCGUGAGGUGUUGGGUUAAGUCCCGCAACGAGCGCAACCCAUAUCCUAUGUUGCCAGCGCGUAAUGGCGGGGACUCGUAGGAGACUGCCGGGGUCAACUCGGAGGAAGGUGGGGACGACGUCAAGUCAUCAUGCCCCUUAUAUCUAGGGCUGCAAACAUGCUACAAUGGCCGGUACAAAGGGCUGCAAGACCGCGAGGUUAAGCGAAUCCCAUAAAGCCGGUCUCAGUUCGGA
rnacentral:rRNA from 1 species